CGGGGCGUAGCGCAGCCUGGUAGCGCACUUGCAUGGGGUGCAAGGGGUCGAAGGUUCAAAUCCUUCCGUCCCGA
rnacentral:tRNA from 1 species